GUCUACGGCCAUACCACUCUGAACGCGCCCGAUCUCGUCUGAUCUCGGAAGCUAAGCAGUGUCGGGCCUGGUUAGUACUUGGAUCGGAGAAUCCUGGGGAUGGGGGAGCCUGGUGGGCUGCCGUCU
rnacentral:rRNA from 1 species